GGGAAGGUUGGUGUACCUGUGGCGAUGGUGAUCCACAGGAAGACCUACAUGUGUAAUGCUGUUGAUUCUCCUUUUUGCAACCUGUGAGGAAGCGCUUGGAGCAAUGCGUUGUCCUGAUGUGGCUGGGGAUGGUUCCUGUGAGCCGACCUCAGACACCUGCAGUACAGAUGCUGACUGCCCUGACAAACAAAUGUGCUGCUCCAAUGGAUGUGACCGUCUGUGCAUGGUACCCAUACGUUGUUAAGGAAAGGGGAGAUCGUAGCAGUGAAGGUGCUGAUAUACUGAUAAAAAUAUAUCUAUAAACUAUUCCUACCAUGACGUAACUUUCGAACAGAGAGAAUAGCACUAGUGCCACGUGACAAGUGACACGUAAUUAAACAUUGUAUUAAAGUAAAAGCAACUACAGUGUCAAACUGGUGUCAAAAUUCAUACAGAAUCCUGAUUAAUGCAAAGAUAAAAAAGAGGGAUAGGUGGGGAAAUCGUUCAGACCAAGCGAAUUCCCUUAAUUUGAUCUGGCGUUUGGACACGAUAAAUAAUGAUAAUAAAUUUAAAGCGUAAAUGGCAUCGGCGAUAGAGUUACAGUACGCACAAAAAACUCAAUCAAUUAUGUUUUAAUGGAAUACUAAUAUUCCGCACCAAUCUAUCCGUCUUUAACAACAAAUCACAGUCAUUUUAGUUAUGUGGUCUACUAAAUGUAAAACGUUGAAAUA
rnacentral:lncRNA from 1 species